rnacentral:rRNA from 1 species
AGAACGAACGCUGGCGGCAGGCCUAACACAUGCAAGUCGAACGCUCCGCAAGGGGAGUGGCAGACGGGUGAGUAACGCGUGGGAAUCUACCCAAAGGUACGGAACAACCAAGGGAAACUUUGGCUAAUACCGUAUGUGCCCGAAAGGGGAAAGAUUUAUCGCCUUUGGAUGAGCCCGCGUCGGAUUAGCUAGUUGGUGAGGUAAUGGCUCACCAAGGCGACGAUCCGUAGCUGGUCUGAGAGGAUGAUCAGCCACACUGGGACUGAGACACGGUCCAGACUCCUACGGGAGGCAGCAGUGGGGAAUAUUGGACAAUGGGCGCAAGCCUGAUCCAGCCAUGCGCGUGUGUGAAGAAGGCCUUCGGGUUGUAAAGCA